CUACGUGCCAGCAGCCGCGGUAAUACGUAGGUCCCGAGCGUUGUCCGGAUUUAUUGGGCGUAAAGCGAGCGCAGGCGGUUAGAUAAGUCUGAAGUGAAAGGCAGUGGCUCAACCAUUGUAGGCUUUGGAAACUGUUUAACUUGAGUGCAGAAGGGGAGAGUGGAAUUCCAUGUGUAGCGGUGAAAUGCGUAGAUAUAUGGAGGAACACCGGUGGCGAAAGCGGCUCUCUGGUCUGUAACUGACGCUGAGGCUCGAAAGCGUGGGGAGCGAACAGGAUUAGAUACCCUGGUAGUCCACGCCGUAAACGAUGAGUGCUAGGUGUUAGGUCCUUUCCGGGACUUAGUGCCGCAGCUAACGCAUUAAGCACUCCGCCUGGGGAGUACGACCGCAAGGUUGAAACUCAAAGGAAUUGACGGGGGCCCGCACAAGCGGUGGAGCAUGUGGUUUAAUUCGAAGCAACGCGAAGAACCUUACCAAGUCUUGACAUCCUUUGACCACUCUAGAGAUAGAGCUUUCC
rnacentral:rRNA from 1 species